rnacentral:rRNA from 1 species
UGCUAUGGCCAUGCCACCCUGAACAAGCCCGAUCCCAUCUGAUCUCGGAAGCUAAGCAGAGUCGGGCCUGGUUAGUACUUGGACGGGAGACCACCUAGGAAGACCAGGUGCUGUAGAUG